GACGAACGCUGGCGGCGUGCUUAACACAUGCAAGUCGAGCGGUAAGGCCCUUUCGGGGGUACACGAGCGGCGAACGGGUGAGUAACACGUGGGUGACCUGCCCUUAGCUCUGGGAUAAGCCUGGGAAACUGGGUCUAAUACCGGAUAUGACUCCAUGACGCAUGUUGUGGGGUGGAAAGCCUUGUGCGGCUAGGGAUGGGCCCGCGGCCUAUCAGCUUGUUGGUGGGAUGAUGGCCACCAAGGCGACGACGGGUAGCCGGCCUGAGAGGGCGACCGGCCACACUGGGACUGAGACACGGCCCAGACUCCUACGGGAGGCAGCAGUGGGGAAUCUUGCGCAAUGGGCGAAAGCCUGACGCAGCGACGCCGCGUGAGGGAUGACGGCCU
rnacentral:rRNA from 1 species